rnacentral:rRNA from 1 species
GCCCCCGCCCGCCUACGGGAGGCAGCAGUGGGGAAUCUUGCGCAAUGGGCGAAAGCCUGACGCAGCCAUGCCGCGUGGAUGAUGAAGGUCUUAGGAUUGUAAAAUCCUUUCACCGGUGAAGAUAAUGACUGUAGCCGGAGAAGAAGCCCCGGCUGACUUCGUGCCAGCAGCCGCGGUAAUACGAAGGGGGCUAGCGUUGCUCGGAAUUACUGGGCGUAAAGGGAGCGUAGGCGGACAUUUAAGUCAGGGGUGAAAUCCCAGAGCUCAACUCUGGAACUGCCUUUGAUACUGGGUGUCUUGAGUGUGAGAGAGGUAUGUGGAACUCCGAGUGUAGAGGUGAAAUUCGUAGAUAUUCGGAAGAACACCAGUGGCGAAGGCGACAUACUGGCUCAUUACUGACGCUGAGGCUCGAAAGCGUGGGGAGCAAACAGGAUUAGGUACCCUGGUAGUCCACGCCGUAAACGAUGAUUGCUAGUUGUCGGGAAGCUUGCUUCUCGGUGACGCAGCUAACGCAUUAAGCAAUCCGCCUGGGGAGUACGGUCGCAAGAUUAAAACUCAAAGGAAUUGACGGAAACUCAAAGGAAUUG